UACGUAGGUGGCAAGCGUUGUCCGGAUUUAUUGGGUUUAAAGGGUGCGUAGGCGGUCUAUUAAGUCAGUGCUGAAAUAUCCCGGCUUAACCGGGAGGGUGGCAUUGAUACUGAUGGACUUGAGUAAAGUUGAGGUUGGCGGAAUUGACGGUGUAGCGGUGAAAUGCUUAGAUAUCGUCAAGAACACCGAUAGUGAAGACAGCUUACUAGACUGUAACUGACGCUGAGGCACGAAAGUGUGGGGAUCAAACAGG
rnacentral:rRNA from 1 species